rfam:TPA: Bos taurus chromosome 4, whole genome shotgun sequence.
UCCCUGGUGGCUCAGAGGAUAAAGCGUCUGCUUACAAUGCAGGAGACCUGGGUUCGAUCCUUGGAUCGGGAA